AGGUGGUUGUGUUGAAGUGUGUGGAGUGCAGUGAGAGAGUUUUGAAAGGAUGGAGGAGGCUACAUGGUGUGUGAAGUGUGUCUGUGAGGGAGGGCAGAGAAGGUGUGUGUGAGAUGAGGUGGUGCUGUGUUGAAGUGUGUGAGUGCAGUGAAGAGUUGUCACGAAGGAUGGGAGGAGGCUAUGGCUGUGUGAGAGAUGUGGGUGUGAGGAGGACAGAGGAGGUGUGUGAGAUAGAGGUGGUUGUGUUGAAGUGUGAGGUGCAGUGAGAGAGGUUGUAGAAGGAUGGAGGAGGCUAUGGCUGUGAAGUGUGGCUGUGAGAGACAGAGAGGAGUGUGUGAGAUGAGGGUGGUUUGUGUUGAGAGGUGUGUGAGGGUGCAGUGCUGAGAGUUGUGA